AUUAUUGUAUGCAAACAUACAUGAUAAUAAGUCAUCCUUAAAUCAGUCACUAUAAUAAAAAAUUGUCGUAUGAACCACUCAUGGAAAAAGAACAUUAAAUGUCAAUAAAUCAACAAAAGAAUAAUGGUCAAGUCAUUAUCCGUGGGAAAUUCUAGCCAUGGUACAGGAGUAACCGGACUAAAGCACAUAUUCUUGUCUACCAAUUCAAUAGCUUUUAGGAGUCACUUGGAAACUUCCACCAAUCCAAUACCCAAAAGUCAAGUUUUGCGAGCUUCACUUUCUGUAAGCAUAGAGCAUUAUUUCUCGCCUUGAUAACCACGCAAUUGGGUUAUAUAUUAGUAUUACCCAGAAACAACAUAUUCUAAUUACUCUUUAUUCUUUUGAUCAGCCAUGAAUCUGAGGCAGGUAACAGUGGUAUGUUCUUCUCUUCCCUUACUGGGUUGUGUGGUAGCAUCUCUACUUCUCCUCUUCACUUCUGACGAGCCAUCUUCAAGUGAUAGUGGCAGCAUGGUGAAUGAUGAAGCAGUAAGCAAUAACAGAGCAGCCCAGAAACAUUUCCGCCAAAUUCAACAGAUCCGUGGAGCUUAAUUUUGAUUGUGUCUCAUAUGAUCAGAUAUUGAUAAUGGUAUUGGAGCUAUGUUAGCCUCCAUUGUGUUAUUUUCUUUGUUUCUUAUAUGUAAUUUUCAAGCCCAGAGAUGGGUUUAGGUUAACAUAGUUGCUGAGACUUGUAUACAUACAUACAAGUGUGUGUCUAUGGCCAAGUAGCCCAGUAGUUGAGUAGUUGCUAAGUAAAACAAGAGAUCAGAAGCUGACUUGCUAAAAGAAUAAUUUGUGCAAUCAAGAAUCUACCAGGCAAGAAUUUCACUCAAGACUUCUUUACUUCUAAAGAGGUAAUUGCAGUAGAUAUAUCUUGAUACCAUUUAACAAUUGCAGCCUGCACACAGGCAUACAGAGGAUAUACAUUGCACACACCCAGUAGUAGCAUGAUUGCAGGAAACUAGAUCUAAAGAAGAGGUAAUGGAAUGUCCUUUUUUGAAAUUCAUAUAAAUUGAAUCUUAUCCCUGCAAAAUUUCCAUAAGGCUAACAACUAGGUUCUGUUUUGUGUUUCAACAUAAAUGAUCGCUUCAGUACCUUGAUCCAUGAGAAUAGUCUAAAAUAAACAAAAAAUUUCUCAAGAAACUCAAGUGGAUAUAAUCAAAUCGUAUAAUUAGAGGGUUAUAAUAAUGGUGGUGACUUCUCAAAUAGACGGAUAGUAUUACACAGAGGUUCAGGCUCAAAAACUGUUGGGUUUAUGAAGAAGAAGAAAAUGAACAUUUAAGAAACAUAACAUUAUAUAAACAGAAAAGUAAAGCUUAAAAACACAG
rnacentral:lncRNA from 1 species